ACGAAGCACGUGACCGACGGCGGGGCGCGCCUGCGCGUGCGUAUUCCGCGGCAGCCGAGCUCUCCAGGCUGCAGUCUCCGGCGCGGACCAGAGGAGCUAUGGAAGCGUGCAGGGCGGCCCGAGUGCGGCAAGGUGGCGACGCCCAGGGACACAGGUUACUGGGAUCACAAGCCUGCACCACUGUGGCUGGCCGGUGCUGUUACGAAUUUAAAGAUGGUGAACUGGCCAACAAGACCCCACUGUCAGGCCAAUCCUUGUACGACUAUGCUAGUUACUGCAGUUAGAGAAUAUAGGAAACGAAAAGACACACUGAUCAUAAGCUAAUCUUAAAGCGCUGGACAUGCACCACUUCCACUCGCCGUUGCUCAGUGCACACUGACGGGGACAUAACACGUGGUGAAGGCGUGAGCUCUACCUUGAUUUGCAAUCACUUCACUCAUCCCACUGCCAGUGACCGUCUGCAGGAAGGCGAAGUAACUCCUCCUCAGCAUCUGCUUCUCCAACGCCGCUGACUGGUCAUUGUCUUCCGCAGGCCGCAGCAGCACUUCAAAGAUGGCAUGAAGCAGGGGCAUGAACAUCUGCUGUAGGAAUGGGGACACCUGCAUCUGGAGAGAGGAACAACUGUUACCACACCGCAGAGGUGAGGGAGAAGUGUAAUGCGACGCUUUAGGUAGAAAAUGCCACACUAGCUCAUAAAACACACACACACUAGAAAAGACUCAAAGAUAAGACUCAGCAACUAUGGGGCUGAAGAGAUCUUCUGGAAGGAUCUUCAGUUCCCAGAACCCACAUGUCUUCUCUGGCUUCUCCAGGCACUGCACACACAUGUGCACGGGCAUGUGUUCAGACAACACGCCACGCAGUAAAAGCAAUCUUAACAAGUGCAGCUGUGUCUUAUAAUUCUGGCUGUUUCAGUAGGCAAAUGCACACACUGUUCAAGCUUGGGGACCUGAGUCUAAUCCCCAGAGCCCACAUAAGGCUGGAAGGAGACCCGUGUCCACAGAGCUCAACGCUGACCUCCAUGCCUUGGCAUGCACAUACACGAGCUAAUAAAGUUAAAGAUGAAGGAAGAAAAAGAUGAAGUAAGAAAUAACAAGUGAUCACAAUCAAAGUUGGCCAUGGGAUACUUUCAAAUUUAAAUUUCUAAGAGAAAAAAAUCCUAAGAAGUGAAUUUUGUACAAUUAAACUAACAUCUGACUUCCAUUAUCCUAUCUGGGCCCCUUCUUCCUCACCUAUAAGGCUGAAUUCUUACCACUUGAGGUAUAUUUUCAGGAAUACAGAGCAACAUCAAAAACCAUUCAGGGCCGAUUUGAACUUAAAGCAUUAUGCAUUGGCCGGCUAUUGUCCCGGGACAGCUCAUACUCGUUCUAAGUUCCUGUCUCUAAAACUGCCUCUGAUGUACUGGAUUACUUUCAGACUCUUAUUCCAGAAUCCAAUCAUACGCCAUGUGUUUACAGGUGGGAAUCAGUGCUGGACUUACUUGCUUCUCGGUAGUUUUCUCUUGCUACCAUUUUUAUUUUGCUGCUCUUGUAAAGGACCUAGGUUCUGUUUCCAGCUCCCACAGGGAGGCUUCCAGCUCCAUGUUCUGUAUCUCCAGUUCCCAGUGAUCUGACACCCUGACAUCUCCGGGUACCAGGCACGCACAUGGUGCACACACAUAUGCACAGGCAAAACACUCAUACACAUAAAAAUCAUCUUCUUACAAUCUAAAAAUCUACCUAGUCAGGGCUGGAGAGAUGGUGCAGAGGUUAAGAGCACCAACUGCUCUUCCAGAGGUCCUGAGUUCAAGUCCCAGCAGCUACAUGGUGGCUCACAGCCAUCUGUAAUGGGUUAUUCUGAAGUGUCUGAAGAUAGCUACAGUGCUCACGUACAUAAAAUAAAAUCUUUUUAAAAAAAUCCACCUGGUCUUUUCUGUGACAGAGAGCAUAUUAUUGGGAUGUUAAAAACGUCCCUAUGAUCCAUGUAACCAAGUAACUCCUCAUUCAGGAAGGCUGAGGGGUGGCUCCACCUGUAAAGAGCUCUCAGAGAUUGAGCCCCGACCCUGUAAUGACAGGUGGCUACGGUGGGGUGCACCCAACACUACAGCAUCAGGAAGAUGGAGGACGAUCGCCGGGGCUUACUGGCCAGCCAGUCUUAGUCCCAUCAGUAAGCUUUAAGUUCAGUGACAGACCAUAUGUCAAAAAAUAAAUGUGGAAGGUGACGGAGGCCACUGUGUGGCCGGCAUGUGUACGAGUAAGCACCCCCCCACCCUGACUCCCAAACCCUGCCAGCCAACACACAGUAGAAGGGGACAAAACCUCGAAGCUCUCUAGGACAUGCACACGUGCAAUCUCACGUCUGCAGAGUACAGUUAAUUAAGUCCUGUGGCCUAUUGGGCACCCUGUGGUACAUACGGUACCUUGAACUUGGCGGUGAUCUGGUUGAUGAGUGGAAUGAACUCCUGGAGGUCUUUCGCUUCGCAGUCUUUGAGCAUGUGCUCUGAGGCAGAGGGGAUGAACGGAAGAACCUCUUCCUCUAGGCAGAUGAUCAUUCGAUGAAGGAAGGUCCGAACCCCGCUUCGGAGAACGUCCUUUUGUAAAGGGCAGCUGAGCGCUGGCAAAAACGUCUGUAAACAGUCCAGGUAGACUUGGGAGCAACCGCACUGCUUCACAGUCUGCUUGUUGCUGAAGGCCUUGCUGGUCCGACUACAUGAACAAAAACCAGGCAACCGAGUUUCAGUGUUUUAAAGAAUAACACAGGGCUGGAGAGAUGGCUCAGAGGUUAAGGCCAUUGACUGCUCUUCCAAAGGUCCUGAGUUCAAUUCCCAGCAACCACAUGGUGGCUCACAACCAUCUGUAAUGGAAUCUGAUGCCCUCUUCUGGUGUGUCUGAGGACAGCUACAGUGUACUUACAUACAUAAAAUAAAUAAAAUAAAUAAAUCUUUUUUUUUUUUUUUUUUGGUUCUUUUUUUCGGAGCUGGGGACCGAACCCAGGGCCUUGCGCUUCCUAGGCAAGCGCUCUACCACUGAGCUAAAUCCCCAACCCCUAAAAUAAAUAAAUCUUAAAAAAAAAAAAAAAAAAAAAGCCUAACAGAUGGGAAAGUGGCAACACCAGGAGACCAGUGACUUCCUAUGUCAGAAUCAUGUCCACCUUAGGUAGCCAUUCUGUGAAAAUGACUGCUCCAGAUAGCAGUACAGAAGAAGACACUAAGUAAGUUAAGCAGAUCAGAUGCAGUGAAGCAUACACUGAGUCUAUCCAUAUGCUUUUUAAAAUCCCAUCUACUCUGCAAGAAAAAAAUGUAUUUACUGUGACUGAGCCACAAGGCAAUCUGUGUGUGCUACUCAGAAAUUUAAAAAACAACCUAAUCACACUCACAGCCAAGUUACUCAUCACCAAGCUGGGCCUGGCUCUUCUGCUGAACUUUAUAGUGUGGAACAGUCUCCCAGGAUAACUUAUUAGCAAUCAGUCAAUUUCCAUACUGUUAAUAAAAAAUGCAGGGAGAGAGGUGAACGGCAGCUUGGGUCUUUGAGACACACUGAAACGCCACAGGGUGUCAGGAUGCCUCUUGAAGGUGUCAACAGUAAAGCAGUGUUGCUGUACGACACUGGGACACAGACACUUUGGCUAGCCUGAAACACAAGACUGACUUACACUAGGGGAGUCAGAAUCCAGAGUACUAAGGAUCCAGACAGUCUUCAUGAUGAACAUGCAGCUAGCCAAGGCUCUGUCCUCUUUGCUGGCUGCAUGUUUAACUUACUGGAGAGACAAAGGGUUAUACGACCCUCCGAGUAACUGACUCAGCUUUGAAAACAGUUGAGUGUGUCCACGUGAGAAAGACCCACUGAAGAGGUUCUGCCUACUCGGAUACUCAGCUUCUUUCACCUAUACAGACACACAGCUUUACCCACGUGGAUGCACACCUUUACCCACUGGGAUGCACACUGUUACCUAUGCAGACGCACAGCUUUGCAGUUUAGUGGCACUUGUCUCACCUGGCGAAUCCAACCGCGUGGUUGAGACUAUCUGCAAGAGAUACUUGUCUCUCUUCAUCCUGGGCCAUCAUCAGCUUUUCCAACAGAACCUUAAACCUCUCCAUCAGUGGCGUCAAGAGGUCCUUCAUUAAGGCCUGCUUAUGUUCUGCGGGGUAUUCGCUGUUAACAAUCAGCGCCCCGGCUGUUUCAUAAAUGAAGAGCUGGUCGUCGCUACUCAGCAAGGACUGGUACCCAUUCUCCUACAAGGAAAUUUUUUCUGAACUGAAUAUUUAUGUUUUAGUCCCUCUCAGUUAACCUAAGCAUGAGAGACAAAACAUACAAUCUACCACAUUGGCUCUUCUAUCAAACACUCAUAGAGAAACGAAAUUUCCGCCACAAUCCCAGACUGAAGGGGAAACUUAAAACGGAAGCAGAGGUUCAAGCCUCAUGGUGGCUGGGCUAAGGUAAGGGCAUUACUCCCUGGUACCCUGCGUCCUCAUGCUUGAGGCUCUGGGAUAAACCCUAGCCCUGUCCACGAGCAAGCAAGCAUAUCAACUGAACUUCAGUCACGACCAACUCUGCAGAAGACCCUACGGUAACUGUCACUGUCUGAUACAGCAGAUUCUCUGGAUGCCAAAGUUGCAAGAGUCAGCAACUGCUGAGAGAAGCUGGCAUAAAGUGCGCACCAAGAGUGAUAAAUUCCAUUAAGUGAAUGUUACUAUCUUGCUUUCAACUCAACAGUGUAGGGGCUGGAGAGGUGACUCAGCACUUAAAGAGAACUGGCUGCUCUUGCAAGAGACUGGGCUUCGACUCCCAGCACCCAUGAGGCAAGCAAGCACACCACUGUCUGUAACCGCAGUUCUGGGAUGUCGGAGCCCUCCCCAUGCCCCUGGAGAUACCACACACAUGUGGUGCACAGAUAAGGCAGGUAAAACAUGCAUGCAUACAUCAAAAAACACACGUAAAUCAAAAUGUACUUAUAAACCAUCUCAACCUAAAUUCUUUUAAGACACUGGAAAGAUUAACAUUUUACACUAAGUCUAAGACGAAAACUUCAAACUAAGUAGCACUGAGGAUGACAACUACCAUCCCAACAUGAGAGUAAUUUAAAGUGGCAUCUCUUAAGUCACUGAGAAAUCAGAACACAGCCUUCACUGCCAACGUCCUUCCAUUAGUACUGUGCUUAUCACUUGGGAUCCGGGUGAACAGAUCCAGUGAACUCUAAGCACACCACCCCUCCCACUAUGAGAAACAAAGCUGGCAUCCGAAGUCUCGGUGAUACCUGGGGAGAUACUUACGGGUGGAGAAAGGGCUAAUAAAUCCUGUAUUCUAUUCAAUAUAUCCUCAAUGUAAGGAUUCAUUUGUUUACUGGAUAAAAUCAAAAGGGAGACAACAAGUAAGUUAGAUGCUGACAAGAUCAAAUUCCCAUUCAAACACAAGGGAACCAAAGCUUACUUCUACGCUGGCCACUCUGAUCGUUAACAUUAACUUACGAGCAAUUUAAAAGUCUGUGUGGUCUGCAGAUGCGUUGCCAGGGCAAUGGACCUGACUGUGAGCCUAGUAAGUGCCAAGUGCUAAGGUACUUCAAAGAACACUACAUAGAACAGACCGUGUUAAAGCAACUUUCAAGCUGAGCAUCACCAUGCAAACCCAUAAUCCCAGUGCUUGGAGGGAGACAGAGGCAGAGCAAUCUCGAGUUUGUCAUUUCCAGGACCAAGAAAACCAAUGAAAAACUGCACCAUGGCCUAGGAGGAUGGCUCAGUAAACGCCUGACUGCAAACUCGAUGGCCCGAGUCUGUCACCCUCCUCCCAUGGUAGGAAGGCCGUCUCCUCUUCUUCACAUGUCUGCUGUGGCAUACAUGUACUCAUCACCCCACAGACAUCUAAACCACCAUCUACCCACCCUCAGGGGCCCCCGUGCAUACACACACAGCACUAAAAGCUGAUACUUACUUGAGAGACUUGACAAAUCUAGAAAACAGGUAGGCAGUUCUGCUCCGGACUUUAGCACUGGAAUGCCACAGACCUCUGUGAUCUAAGAAAGCCAUCUAAGGAAGAGACACUCAUUAGCUCUGCUCUCAUUCAAGGACUCCAGUGUCAUACUGCCUUUUAUAUUUUAGACAAGGCUUCUCUGGGUGGGCCUGAUUGUCACAAAACUCGCUCUGUAGACCAGGCUGGCCUCCAGCUAACGGAGACCUGCCUGCCUCUGGCUCCCGAAUACUGAGAUUAAAAGUGUGCCCCACAGCCAACUAGCAUUGUACUGCAUUUCUGCUCACAUCAAAUUGUACCUCCUAGGCAGGGGCUAGAAAUGCAGAAGUAAUGUUAUAUUACACACAGGCCCUAAGGACUGCUUUUAUAUAAAACUAUGUCUCAGACUUAGAUAGCCUUUUAACUCUGAGAAAAGUUACAGACAACAAAGACAGAACACAAUCUGGACAUUCAAUCCAGAGUACAGUGCACACUUACUAGUGCACACUUACUAGUACACACUUACUAGUACACAGGGGAUGUGCUGAGGUUCAACUGUGAAAAACUUCUCAUAGCGAACGACAGUUUCAAAGAACUCCAGGGUCACAGAUGUGUGCUGGUAGGAACUGACUCCUGAUGUUACCAACUAGAGAGGAAACGAAGAAACCUAUUCUUGUUUACUGCAACAUCCAAAAGUCCCUCUGUCAAAACAGACCAAGCUCUAACCACUAAGAAACUCUCAGCACAGCACAAAGGGAAAACUGUUUCCGGUACAGGAUCCUCAGUAUACCUACCGUCCGCAUCAUGUCCUGCAAAGCACUCGCUUUUGACACGUCACCUGAGAAGUGAGCGCCAUGGGACACCGGGAGAGCUUCCGCCAGCAUGUACAGCAAUCUCACUGCUACUUCAACUUCCAUGAAGCGCGUGGUCUGCCAGUUCCUACCAAGGCACAAUAUUGUAUGUCUGUGAGACCUCAGCACGAAUGUUCUGUAGGACUUUUGAUACACAGGACAGUAACCCACCAUAAAAUCCUCUCAAUGGCACUUCCACACACUCCUGUAACCAACCCUAAUGACACUCAGGGUUACCAACACCAUGGGAGGAGACGAGAAAGUACGAGCAUGAGGGUAAAAGUGGUUGAAAUACAUUAAAUGCAUGUUGGCAUGCAAAUAAUGAAACCCAUUAUUACAGAUGGUUAACAUGCUAAUAAAAACCACUUUAAAAAGUCUUGAACAAUUAAAGAGUCAUGCCAUUCAUUUGUCAAUUUUGCCAAGCAAUGUAACUUAAACCACAGAGGUAGAGACAGGAAGUAUUUCAGAAGCAAAGCCGACUGUCUGCAGACACGUGAGGAUAGUGGAUGUUACAGGACAGAGAAGAGCUUACUCAAGCAGGAGGACUUACUGCAGCGUGGCGCUGAAGACUCGGCGAACAGAAGCCAGCACCAGCUCUGGCGACACCUGCGCAAGUCUGUCCAACAGUAACUUCAGCUGUUUUCUGUAUUCUACAAACAUGGCUUCAUCUUCACCCUGUGACGGAAGUUCAAAGCAUCACGAUGACUCAGCCAUUAGAAGCACUCGGGGUGGGAGCAGGGCACCAGCACCUGUCCUCGGCCUCCACAGCAACACCCUGGCCCACACUCACAACUGCACACACAAUAAUGAUACAUACAUCACUUACACCUCCAUACACAUACACCUAUAUAUUCAACCUUAAGAUCUUAAAAUUACGUAAGUGAUCAGUUACCUCAUACCCUUUAUCUUCUAAUAAUAAUGAUAAUGAUAAUGAUAAUAAUAAUAAUAAUGAUAAAUCACAAUGCUCAGCAGCACUUCCCUUCUGCUCGUUAACCAGUGAUCUCAUUAAGGCCUGGGUCAUAAGGCCUACGGAGGAGGGCAGGGUGAGUGUAAACAGCUGGUAUGGGUGCACAUUCGGUUCGAGACUUGCCUGUGGUCUCCGCUCGCCCUCCAGCCUCCCCAAGUGCUGACAGCAUCAGAACUGGAGCUACCAUAUCUCUCACUGUCACUAUGACCCUUUGAUAUUCAUUCCAAAUACAGUAUUUUAGCACAGAGUUAACCAACAUGUGCCCCAGUUUCCAGAGAGCAGUGGACAGCCCCUAACACAAGCGGGAGGCUGAUGCUCACAUCGCUGGACAAGACUUGAAGCUGAGCACGUCCAGGCAGGGAAGCCCCAUUCUCGCCUCCCUAGUGGGAGAUGAGCUGCGAAGUGAGAGCCAUGGGCCACCUGGUGACUUGAGGCCUGUUGACUGGGCCUCGACCCAGCACGCUGGUUAGCUGGUUAAAUGUAAACCGAGAUAAGGUCAUCGGUGAUAAGUUGACCGUGAACUCCAUGCUGCUUUUCUCUUUCAUUGCUAUAGACAUAAUCUAGGACCUGAGUGUAAUAAACAAAGGUCCCUCCGCUGAAUGCAUCCCAGACCCCAUCCCAGACCCCUCAGUUGAUUUUUUAUAGGAUUCUUUUUUGUUUUGAGAAAAGCUCUCACCAUACAGCCCAGUACGUAGCCCAGACUGGCUUCACAUUUUCCUAAGGCUGCCAACUGCUGGGAUUUCAGGCAUGUGCCCCAUUACCAGCUUAGAAAAUGUGUGUGCACGUGCACGCAUAUGUAUGCUUGCUCAAUCAUGCACACGCUUCGGCCACUGUCCUCAGGAGCUACCCACCUUUUGUGUGUGUAAAGCACGUCCUCUCACUAAGAGCUGGACUCGGUGUCUAGGCCAGGCAGUGUACUCCAGGGGUCCACCCUCUUGCCUUCCCUGCUCUGGGACUACAAGCAAGUACCACCAAAUGCAGCCUUCUACAGUCAUCCAACUCUGACCUCAAUGUUCACACAGCAAGCACUUUACCCGAUGCCCUCCUACCCCUCAGAGAGCAGAGGACUCAGGUCUCCGUAAGUGCUGGCCCAAAUUAACAGCGAUAUAAAUAACUACAUUAGUAUAAACAAGGCUGAUUAAAACACACUAUUGUUUUAAAGGGCUCUGAAACUAAAAUAUAAAAUACUAAUUUGCUGCAAACAAACAAUAAAAUUAAAACCGGUUUUUCUUUGGUGCAAAACUCCUCACCUCAUUUUCAAAGUUAUAUUCUUCAUCAUAGGUCAAUUUUUUCAUAACGGCCAACAUGAUUGCCUAAAAUUAGUAAUACAAUAACAUGUGUUAAUUGUUCCUUUUAACCUGGAGGUUGCUCUUACAUUUCAAGGUAGGUUUCAGGUAACAAACUGAGCAUCAGCUUUAGGUGAGCAUGACUCACCCACUGUAAGGGCUCAGGGAAUCUCACGGAAGCAGAGGGGGAAGUGUGAGGUGGGGUGGAGUCCACCUUGGAGGGAGAUUACUUGAGACUCAGGAAACAAACAACUCACAAACAGUCCCUAAAACUCACCAACUUCACUAAGCCCCUCCCUCCCCAGGACCAUUCACCCACAAAGACUGCAGGGAAAAGACUCUCCAACAGUGGUGCAGAGCACUCCAUGACUGCUUUUCAAUGAAGCAGCUCCCUCUGAACAGUAGUCCCUCACCAACAGCCAGGUAAGGAACCCUGACUGACCAGGGUUUAAAAGAAGUCACUUACCUCUACAUUAGCUUUUUGCUGAUCCGAGAGCACUGAAAGCUUAAAAUAAAAAGUAAACAAUAACUUUUAUUAGGUUUUCUGAUGCUAUAUAUCAAAGUAUUCUUUUAAAACAUACACAAUGGAGCUUCUGGUACAAUUAGGGGACAGGACAUUUUUCCAGCAUGCACAAGUUUCUGGUCCAAUAUGAAAAUAAAAUACAUAUAUUUCUGCUGAGUAGUUUGACAGCAAACCUAUAGUUAACAGCUUCCUAAAUUUAGAUGUAGUAAUUUUGUCUAAUAAAUAAUAUAUAGGCAAUAACAUAGAUAACUUGAUUAAGCUUUUUUUUUUUGGUUCUUUUUUUUGGAGCUGGGGACCGAACCCAGGGCCUUGCGCUUCCUAGGCAAGCACUCUACCACUGAGCUAAAUCCCCAACCCCUGGAUUAAGCUUUUAUGAAAUAUUUAGAAAUAAUAACACUGUAACGAGUGGAGGACAUUUUUGUUGUUUUGCGACGGUCUCACUAGUCAUGGUGAGCCUGACACUCAUGCUAUAGACCAGACUGUCCUUGAACUCAGAGAUCUAAAGGCAUGCACAACCAUGCUUAGCUUUCUAAAACAAAGCAAAUCAAACUUAGAAACCUAAGACACAACACUGUGGGAAGAUCAGUUUCUCUAAUGCUAAAAUCCCUUGAACUCUGCAUGUAAACAGUUAUUGUUCUAAGAAUUAGCAAACCCUGGGGUGGAGAGGUAGCUCAGUGGCAGGGCAUGCCGAGCACGGUCCAGGUUCUGGGUUCAGAAGCUAACCAGCCAGCCCACAGGGGGGCGAUGGCGCAAGCGGAAUGCCGAUUUCUGAGUACUCGUGAACUGCACAGCAAUGGACCACCAUGGAUUGCAGUGGGAAGGGGAAGGUGGUGCGUGAGACCCUGCCCCUUCUUGGGGGAGCUGUUACAGUUGCUAAGGAACAGAAAUAUUUUCUUCAAUGAAGCAGCCUCUGGUAAGUGGCUCAUGGUCCUGUAUACAACCCCUCGCCUACACUCCUAUAACAACUGUAAAUUCACUAAACCUCCAAAGGAUAUCAAAGUAAGACUUAGAAGGAGGAGAGGUGUAGUGUGUAACUAUAAAACAACCUGGGCUAUGUUCGGCUACGUGCCAGCAGCGGUGGACUCCCCUCCCCAACUAGGAGCAGCAAGCUCAGCUAGCUGAGCUGCUCAAAUCUUCCCAGGCCAUCAUCCCACUGGCUCUACUCCCCUAGGCCAGUAAAAUGAAAACUCCAGAGGCUAGUAAUUUAUCAGCCAGACUUGUAACAGUCAAUCUUCAACCCACAAAUGCCCACACAAAGAACUCAAAACUCAAUGGUUAUAGACACAAGCUGCGCACCUGGAUUGGACAGAUGUGCCCUGCAUUAUUCAGUCAUCCAUCUCAGGACUCCCCAGUUACUUAUGGCUCCCAGGACCAUGUGGUUUUGACUCAUCAUCCUCUCUUAUAGAUAGGCUCCAUCUUGUCUCGUUGUCUCUGUCUGUCUUUUUUUUUUUUUCCAGAGCUGGGAACCGAA